rnacentral:lncRNA from 1 species
AUUAAAGACUCGGCAAUUUAGAACUUGACAUACAGGUACAUGUCCUGUACACACUCGUGUAUUAAUUUAUACCAUAUGUUAACCUCUUCAUGUUUUAUUUUGUUUGGUGCGCGGCUGUUUCAUUACAAUACUCCUUUAAAUCCCUCUAUUCACGUUUUAAUCACUUUUUAGAAUUUCACAUUAACUCAUAAAAUUAAACUUUUAUUCGGGUCAAUGAUAACAAUUGAAUAAUAUUUGGAGGCUCCUAAACAAUUUUAUAGCUGACUAUGCGGUAUGGGCUUUGCUCAUUGUUGAAGACCGUACGGUGACCUAUAGUUGUUAAUUUCUGUGUCAUGUUUGUC